rnacentral:misc_RNA from 1 species
UCAUAGCACAAACAUCGAACGAUGACGUCAUCGACUAAAAUAGACGAUAAAAGAUCGAUUCUCAUUGGCUGAUAUGCCGAGCUGUACGUUCUAUGACGUCAGAGAUUAGCAAGUUCAUACCAAACAAAACGUCACUAAAUGAUACCAGUCAGAGGGCGUGAUCAGUUCCUAUUUGUAUUGUUGAAUCUUGAGGAAGUGCGUUGAAGUGCACGCAUAUUGUGGCAUUUUGUUUGCAGUAGUACUUCGUAGCUUAAAGUGAAUUGUUCAAAAUAUCAGUGUAGUGUAUUUUCUGUUACGGAAGAUUGGUUUGUUUGGAUGCUGCCUUAGACUUCCUGUAGCUAGUCAAGAUGACAAUCAAAAUAUACGUUUCUGGGCUGUCUGGAAACUAUGAGGUAAAGAAGCGCCAGCAGCGGAUUCAGACUGUGCUGGACUCGUGUGCCAUUGCCUAUGAGCUGAUAGACAUUACGGAAGCUGGCUGUGAGGAUGAGAGAAAAUUUAUGCAGGAGACCGCCAAAGCAAAGGAGGGGGACCGGAACCCCCUGCCACCACAGAUAUUCAAUGACAAGGACUACUGUGGUGACUAUGACGCCUUCGAUUACGCCAACGAGACCGAUCAGCUGCACCAGUUUCUGAAGCUGAGCGAGGGCGAGGUGAACACCGCCCAGGACAUCCUCUCCGCCAACCGGCGCGCCUCCAUCAAAGAGCACACAACAGCGGAGAACGGCCUCGACGAAACGCCGAACGGCGACCAGACCGACGCCAAAGAAGAGCCAAGCUUCUGGGACGAGAAAAAAGAGGAGGAUGAUAGUCCAGGGUUCUGGGAUGAAAAGAAAGACGAAGACAAUACUGCCAAAGACGAAAAAGCAGAGGACGAUAGUCCAGGAUUCUGGGAUCAGAAAGAGGGAAGCCCAGUAAAAGAGGUUAAGAAGGAUGAGGAUGACAGCCCUGGUUUCUGGGAUCAGAAAGAAGAAAGUCCUGUAAAGGAAGUAAAGAAAGAAGAGAACGAGUGCCCUGGAUUUUGGGACGAACAGGGAGAUAACGAAAAGAACGAGGAACGAAGUGAAGAAGUAAAACCCUCCGAAGAUGUGGAAGCGGAACAUGCAAAAGAUGAAGGAAAAGAAUCCGAAAGUGAAGAAGAAGAAGAAGAGGAGGAAGAUGACGAUGAAAGCCCAGAUAUAGCAGAGUUGAAGGAUGUAGCACAGAAACUGCCGACAUCGGGCGAAGAGGAUCGCGAUGGGAAGAAAGAAGACAGCCCCGGCUUUUGGGAUCUGAACACUGAGGAAGAUUUGCCUGCCAGGAAAACGACUAAGGAAGAUAGUCCCGGGUUUUGGGAUGAAAAUCCGGAAGAUGAUUUUCCCACUAAAAAGGAAAAGAAAGAGGAAAGUCCCGGAUUUUGGGAUGAGAAUCCGGAAGAUGAUUUCCCCACUAAAAAGGAAAAGAAAGAGGAAAGUCCCGGAUUUUGGGAUGAAAAUCCGGAAGACGAUUUUCCCACCAAAAAGGAAAAGAAAGCGGAAAGUCCCGGAUUUUGGGAUGAGAAUCCGGAAGAUGAUUUUCCCACUAAAAAGGAAAAGAAAGCGGAAAGUCCCGGAUUUUGGGAUGAGAAUCCGGAAGAUGAUUUUCCCACUAAAAAGGAAAAGAAAGAAGGAAGUCCCGGAUUUUGGGACGAGAAUCCGGAAGACGAUUUUCCCGCUAAAAGGGAGAAGCAAGUGGAAAGUCCAGGCUUCUGGGAUGAAAAUCCAGAAGACGAUACUCCCACUGAAAAAGAGAAGCAAGACGAAAGUCCUGGAUUCUGGGACGAAAAUCCAGAAGACAAUUAUCCCAGUAGAAAAGAAAAAGAAAAAAGCCCAGGGUUCUGGGACGAGAAUCCCGAAGACGACUUGCCCAGUAAAAGAGAAAAGGUUGAAAGUCCGGGAUUCUGGGAGGGGGAUGGGGAAAAAGAGGAAAGCCCUGGGUUCCAGGAAAGAACAGUUUCGGCAGGGGACGAAGAGAGAGGGGAUAAAUCGGGAGUAAGGGACGAGAGUGAUGCCACGCCAGUUAGAGGAGACGAGAGAGAGGAGACACGGGCAGCCGGGGAUGAUACUAAGGUGGCUAAUCCGUCUGCAGAGGCAGGGAAGGAGGAUGAUACCACGGGGUUCUGGGACGAUGUGGAUGACGAUCAUUCUGGGGGCAAAAAUACCGAUGAUAAUGAGGAAUUUGUGGAUGGCAAGGAGGGUGCGCAAGCUAUCGGAAAUAUGGAGGUGGCUGGUGGAUCUCUGGGUCAAAAUGAAAAUCUCACAGCGGAAGCUCAGGGGAAAGGGGAUUCUUCUGGUUCUGGGGACAGUAUUAAGGAUCAGCACGCUGAUGGAAAGCGAGGGGAUAGCCCAGGGUCUGUGAAUGAGGGCGCCCAUGUUGAUCUGGACGAGGAUGAGGAUCGCAAGGGAUCCGGUGAUGGCGAGAUGGUGGACGCCGACGCCGAUAAGACAGACGCUGCCGAAGACGAGCGUCGUGACACUGAGGUCAAGACAGAAGCUAUGCAGCCAGGCUCCGCAGAGCAAGAGUCUGGUACUGGUAACGAAUCGGACUCGGAAAAAGAGCCCAAAGGCCAUGAUGAAACUGAAAUGGCAGAUCCAAAAGUAAGCGACAAAGGAGAUGCGGAGGAGAGCGUCGCAGCUGUUAUUGCUGAUGGAGAGAAAGCCGCAGAGCCGGAGUGGGCUCAGGAAGGUGGACGCUCUGAAGGCAACGUUGAUGGCACGGGACCGCUGACUGGAAAUGGAGAUGGCAUUAAAGCUGAAGGAGGAGAGGCCACUGGUGAUGACGAGGAUGUCUCCGGUUAGAGAUGCGUCAGAGGCUUGGUCGGCAGCGGCGACAAUGAACAGGAGAACCCCGAGAAGGAGGACUGAGGCUGGUCGUCGAGCUGUGCUGCCCGGCGGCCCGGCCUUUUUAUACCGUGCUGACGGGGCGCCGCCGGCGCCUCGUGCUUGUGCGUGCGUCGCUUUCAAGGUUCACACGGAGGAGGAAGUCUGGUGGAAAUUGUGUCACUGCUCAGCCCGAUGUGCAGGGAGGUGGCCAUCGCUGCACCACCGCGAGAUUCCGUUCAGUGAGCCCACACGACGCUGUGUUCAUGGCGAUCAAGUGCUUCUGAUCGGUUGUUUAUUGAGAUUUCUUGCUUUACAUAUGCGUUAUUGCUUUGUAGUUAACCGACCCCCGCCGUUCGGCGGUUUGGUUUUAUGUUUGCGCCGCCUGCGUGAAUGUUAGCACACUGCGCAAUCCAGUAAGUCGUUUGCCAAACCCUAUGAUCACGAAGUGGCAGUGUGUGCUGCGCUGUUCUGAGGCCGAUUUUAUCCGAAUUGCUACCAACGAGAUGUGUAUGUGCGGACACCAGGCUGUCCAAUGACUAUGUCAAGAUGCUUCCUGAGCUUUCCCUAGCUUUAGUGUAGGAUUGUUAUUUCCUGUUCCGGCGCAUCGCAUUUCUUUGGUAAUCUGGUGUCCACCUUUCCCGUUUGUUUUUCACCUGUUAUGUUAUCCUAACUUUGCGGAUUGCAGAAAUAAAUCGUGUCUCAAAUUUUA